UGCCGCCGGGGUGGGCAGGGCGUUGGCUCUUACCCCAGAUGACGUCCUAGGAGUCUGUGUGCUUCCAUAGAGGCUGAGGAUCAAUCAGCUUGACGCUGGCUGCCAUGUCAUCCAGCGUGUCCACCCCCUAACUGUGAUCAGUGGCUUGUGCCCAAGGGAUGAGCUGUAAGCCGCAUGCCCUUCCUGUUCUCCCACAUCCAGCAACCACACAACUCUCCAAAUCCAGAAGUUUCCGGUCAGAUAAAAGCCGGGCUUGAGUGGGGAAACACGUGCUGCAUUCAUUGGAAUAAGUAUAAACGAAUCCACAAAUUUGGCAUUCUUAUGAAAGAGUAUGAAGACUCACCUGUAAAGACCACCAGACUUGAGUAAAGUCAUCUGAAAUGCCAAGUCACUGUAUGAAAAACUCAGUGCUCCCAAAUCUAUGCUCCAAAGCAAAGUAGACUUUCUAGAAAAGGAACUGAAAAAAGUGAAAAUCAGAUGCUCAAAACAAGAUGGACUGAUAGAAGGCAUUAUAAGAAGAACACUGUUAUUGAAAGUCAAUCAAAGUCCGUCAGACUACAAGUGCCCUCUCCACGUAGAAUGCAAGGGACUCCUUCCUCGGUUUGUGUUUGAAAGGAGAGCUUCCCCGAGUGUUCACACAGAUUUCUCCAAUGCUGUGUGCACGCUUCUUUCUCCCAAUCUGAGGUCUCAAUGCUGGUGGGCGAAAGGGAGCUCUUCCUAACAAGAAGACGUCUUCAUGCCUCUCAUCUUGGGUGCUGCCAGCAUUACUUCCCACCGAGUCUUCCUGCCCCAGCUUGACCUACAACAGUAAGAAGCAUCAGUCCUCCAUGGGGUUUUCCUCAUGACCCUUCACCUGCACUUGAAUUAUUCCUCCUGCCCCACAUCCUGAAAGUAGAAGGGAGUUACUCUUACACUUGACCUUCAAACAAGCUGAUCAUUGAUCAUCCAGCACUCCCACAAAAAUCUUGAUUUUCCCCCCUCCCUCUUUUCAAAAAGCUAAUUUUGAAUUAGCUUGUUUGGCCAUUCAAUUUAAAAAACUGUGGGGUGACUGGGUGACUCAGUUGGUUAAGCAUCCGACUCUUGAUUUCCACUCAGGUCAUGAUCUUACAGUUGGUGAGAUUGAGCCCCAUGUAGGGCUCUUUGCUAACAGUGAGGAGCCUGCUUGGGGUUCUCUCUCUCUCCCUCUCCCUCUCCCGCUCUCUCUCUCUCUCUCUCUCUCUCUCUCUCUCUCUCCCUCUUCUCCCUUUGCCCCUUCCCCAAGUGUGUGCUCUCUCUGUCUCUCAAAAAUAAAUAAACAUUACAAAAAAUAAAAAGAAACUGUAAUUAGAGCAAACUGUUAUACUUUUAAUCAACAUGAAGCUUGAUGGAGUUAUAAGUCUCACAACAGUGUUUUGUGAAUAUGUUAAAUGUGGUUCUUACAAGUAAAUUAUUUCCAUGUUAUUGUGCUCUCUGGAUAUUUUGUUUUAGAUAAUCAACCUUUAAAGACAUCAACAAAAUUUACAGUAUUCCAUGAGCAUGGAAACAUUUUAAACUUAAAAAGUUAAUUUUUGCAUACCAAGAGCUGUAUUUAUUUUAAAAGAGAAAUGUGAGAAUUACUAUCUACCUAAGGAAUUAUUAAACUUAUUUCAAUAACUUAUUUUUAACUUGUUAAAACAAGCAAAAUGACUCAAAAUCACUCUGCAAAUAAUGUUUUCCUAUAAAUGGUGUGACAGCUUUAGGUGAGACACAGCAAUUUCAUGACAAUGAAUAAUUUUGGCCCCUGGGCUGUGGCUGCAGGUGUCUAGAUGCUCCUGAGAAAUUCUGCAUUAGCUACAUUUUCAUCUCUUGGGCAGCUUAACGAUUGAGAUUAGAGACAUAGAUACAAUAACCUAUGAAAAUUUCUUCUAGUCCUUUUAUUUUCUGACAAAUAAUGGCACAAACCUAGUGUUAAAAUGUCAGCUGUGUAACAUAACUUUAUCCACUAGAGGGCCAAAUGUCAUCAUUAUUUAAAAAACCAGUCAUCUGCUAAGAUGUUUAAUGCCAGGAACACUCCAGUAGUUCUCCUUCUUCAUGUAAGUUCAGUUCCCCUUACCAGGAUAGCAGAAAUAUUCAUAAAAUUAAUUUUCUCUUAGAAGUA